rfam:Brassica napus, WGS project CCCW01000000 data, contig: 42373
AGAAUAUAAGAAACCGUCUCUUAACUUUUAACUAAAAAAACUAAGAACCGGCUCUUAAAUAAGAUAUUUAAGAGCCGGUUUUAUUUUUUUUAGUUAAAAGUUAAGAGAUGGUUUCUUAUAUUCC